rnacentral:lncRNA from 1 species
AUUACCACCAAAACUGCAGUCAUGGAUAAUCCACAGAGAAGGACAAAUGGAAACAAUGACGCACCGUCCAAUGAUAUAUUUAGGCAAGGUGGAUCAACAAAGUACCCACGGAUUAUACCGUUCCUGGGAUUGCUGAACGCUGUGCUGUUGAUAACGGCUGUUGUUAUUGGAGUUAACUGUGCCAAAGUCAACGAGGGCUCCUUGCACAUUUCCAACCCAGCUGUAACACAGCUCUUCAGUGAGCUCGACUAUCUCCGAAGCAACCACAGCGAUGUGAUCGAAGCUGAAGAGGAGGCCAUAAAGGCGUUAGAGAGCGCGAUCAACAACCACAAAGAAGUAAAGGUGAAAAUUGAGCAGCUGAAGACCGUCAAUGAUGGUUAUCAGAAACAGAUACAAGCACUGCAAAUGGAGAAGGCAAACCUGAAGUCCAAUAUAUCAACUUUAGGUGAGACAGUUGUAUCUGUGUUUAAUAUCCUUUAA